UUCCUUGACUUAAAGAACUGCUUUCCUCUUCCCAGUGCCUUUCCUCUCGCCCAUGCCUCUCUUCCCCCUCCAUUAUUUUCUCUCUCAAGAUCCGCUCCACCUCCCAUGCCUCUCUUCCCCCUCCAUUAUUUUCUCUCUCAAAACCCUAGCUGCUUCUCCUUUCUCUUGUCUUCUACUUCCGAUCUUCACAUUCAACUCCAUGUUUUGGAGAUCUGAAAUGGACGAGAAGGAAGAAGAGGAACCGAUGUGGAGUAUUUCUCAUGGAUAUAGGAAUUUGUUUAAUUCUUCUAAUCUGAUCUACGAGUACUCUACACAGAAUAAUUCCUUCGAUGUUGGUGUCGGAUUUGACGGCUAGGGUUUUCGAUGAACUUGAUACUACAAUGGCGGCUAGGGUUUUUGAUGAAUCUUCUACUAUAGCUGGUGGUUAAGAAUGGCAUCUGGCAACAAGUAAAGCUGCACGAAUUUUGUAGAUCAAAGAACAUUCAUCUAUCUGUACGUUGGGAACAAGUCACCGAUCCACUUCACCAGGAAGUUUUCUCAAGCACCGGUAUGAUUGAAGGAUGAAAGCUGAUUCGGAAAGAGAAGGUAGGUUACUGUUGUCUAUCAACGAGUCUUUGUGAUAUAAGUUUGACUGGCCUGAAGUGUCUACAUUAGCUCUCUUGUUUUUGUUGAUUAAUGUUCCACUCAUCACUUGUGUUGUCAGUCGUCCUAUGGCUUUGUGGAUUACUAUGAUCGAAGAUCAGCUUCUCUUAAUAUUGUCAGUCUUAAUGGACGUCAUCUGUAAGUAUGACGUGCGUUAUUUUAUUAGUUAAAUUUUCUAAUCAUAUAGCUUUUAGGUGAGCUUUUUUGUUGUAAAUUUCAGUUCUGGACAACCUAUCAAAGUUAAUUGGGCAUAUGCGAGCAGUUAAAGAGAGGACACGACGAAUCAUCAUGACGUACUUGUUGGGAAUUUGAGCCUCGAGGUUACAGAUGCUACAUUGUUCGCAUGCUUCUCUUCUUAUCAAACCUGCUCAGAUGCUAGAGUAAUGUGGGAUCGGAAGACUGGGCAUUCCAGGGGUUUUGGGUUUGUUUUAUUAGAAGCUAACAGAGUUGUAAGUUGCCACAAAGUUGGGCGAGGAACCAUCACGAAUGUUCUUUAUGCUAUUAGGCCUGUCGUGUUUAACUUAGUCAUGUAUUUUUUUUUUAUGCUUAGCCAUGAUUUCUAUAUAUGUAACCUACAUCAAGUAAUCAGCGGUGUUUGUUUUCAUGCUUUCAACCAUUUCUAUAGAGUAAUUAGGCUUAUGAUUUGUAUUGUGUUACGGGAAAUAGUUUUUUAUAUCUUGGGGGAACG